rnacentral:rRNA from 1 species
GACAGAGGUGCCGAGCGUUAGGCGGAAUCACUGGGCUUAAAGCGUGUGUAGGCGGACUUCUAAGUACCUUGUGAAAUCCCUCGGCUCAACCGUGGAACUGCUUGGUAUACUGGUCGUCUUGAGCCAUCUAGGGGCUGUCGGAACAAAUGGUGGAGCGGUGAAAUGCGUAGAUAUCAUUUGGAACGCCAAAGGUGAAAACAGACAGCUGGGGAUGUGCUGACGCUGAGACACGAAAGCCAGGGGAGCGAACGGG